GGGUGCGAUCGUACCCGCACUAAUGCACCGGAUCCCAUGGGAACUUCGCAGUUAAGCGUGCUAGGGCGAGAGUAGCACUAGGAUGGCUGACCACCUGGGAAGUCCUCGUGUUGCAACCC